AUACUAUGGUUGUUUCAUAAAUGUUAUGACUGGGUAUACAUGCUUUUGAGUGACAUAUGACUUCUACAAUCCAUGUUAUGUCACCACAUUACCAUCUGACC